rnacentral:rRNA from 1 species
AAAACUUUUCGCUAAAAGAUGAGCCUGUGAAGGAUUAGGUUGUUGGUGUGGGUAAAAGCCUACCAAGCCUAUGAUCCUUAGCUGUUCUGAGAGGAAGUACAGCCACACUGGGACUGAGACAAGGCCCAGGCUCCAAAUGGAGCCAGCAGUGAGGAAUUUUGGACAAUGAGCGAAAGCUUGAUCCAGCAAUACUACAUGAGUGAUGAAGGCUUUCAAGUUGUAAAACUCUUUGGUUGAGGAGGAUAAUGACAGUACUCAACAAAAUAGCCCCGGCUAACUUCGUGCCAGCAGCCGCGGUAAGACGAAGGGGGCGAGCGUUAUCCGGAAUGACUGGGCGUAAAGGGUCCGUAGGCAGCAUUUUUUGUUAAUUGUGAAAUAAAAAAGCCCAACUUUUUUUAGCUUUUAAUACGUUAAUGCUUUGAGUUUGAGAGGGGAUAGCAGAAUUUCACAUGGAGGGGUGAUAUCCGUAGAUAUGUGAAGGAAUAACCGGAGGGGAAGGCGGCUAUUUGGUUCAAUACUGACGUUGAGGGACGAAAGCAUGGGGAGCAAACAGGAUUAGAUACCCUGGUAGUCCAUGCCCUAAAAGAUGAGUGCUCGUGCUUAGAGAUUUUUAGGCACUUAGUUAACACGUUAAGCACUCCGCCUGGGGAGUACGACCGCAAGGUUGGAACUCAAAGGAAUUGACGGGGGCCUAUACAAGUGGUGGAGCAUGUGGUUUAAUGCGACAAUACGCGCGAAACCUUACCAGUUCUUGACAUAUAGAUGAAAAAGUCCGAAAAGAUUUUUUUUAAGAUUUUUACAGGUGCUGCAUGGCUGUCGUCAGCUCGUGUCGUGAGAUGUUAGGUUAACUCCUUUUAACGGGCGAAACCCCCGUUUCUAGUUGCCA